UUUUUUUCUGUGCUAUGCUAUGUGAGACCCGAAAACCGCGGGUUUUAGUUGGAGCUAGCUGCGCUAGUUUCAUGGAUUUUUGUCUUUUCUACGGUCUUUCUCCGAUUGUUCUAAUCUUUGCUCUCUUCUUUACGCUAUUGUUCGCAAAUGAAAUUGUUCACGAUCUGAUUCGCUGCAGCUUCCACGUCAAAUCGACCUUCUUUUCAAUUAGUAGAUAAAUUUGGGUCGGAGGGGAGGGGUUCAUCUCCAUAAUUUCCACCAAGAAUGGCAGAUUCUUUUCACUGGUCUUCAAAAGCAUUUGCCAGAUUUCGAGUUGUGAUCACCAAUUAGCAACUGUGAUUGAGAAGUUUUCUGGGUUUUCUUUUAUUUUAAUCUUUUUUGGUAAUUGUUGAAGAAAAAUCUAUGGCUUUCACAAGAUUGGUUGCUUCAAGCAUUUGCCAGAUUUCGGGUUGUAAUCACUAAUUAGCGACUGUGAUUGAGAAGGUUUCUUGGUUUCUUUUAUUUGAAUCUUUCUUGGUAUAUGUUGAAGCAAAAUCAAUGGCUUCCACAAGAUUAGUAGCUUCAACCCAAUACUACGCUACCAGCAGUCUCGUCAUCGGAUACGCUCUCUGUUCAAGCUUACUUGCAGUCAUCAACAAGUACGCCAUUACCAAGUUCAACUUCCCUGGGCUACUCACAGCACUACAGUACUUGACUUCAGUUCUAGGGGUUUGGAUUCUUGGGAAAUUAGGGUUUCUCUACCAUGAUCCAUUCUCAACAGAGACAGCGAAGAAAUUUCUUCCUGCGGCCAUUGUUUUCUACCUGGCGAUCUUCACCAACACGAAUCUACUCCGUCACGCCAAUGUUGAUACAUUUGUGGUUUUCAGAUCCUUAACACCUCUUCUGGUAGCCAUCGCGGACACCACAUUUAGGAAGCAGCCAUGCCCUUCAAAGCUCACAUUUGUGUCUCUGUUGAUCAUAUUGGGUGGUGCUGUUGGGUAUGUGGCUACAGAUUCGGCAUUCACUGUCACUGCUUAUUCAUGGGCAUUUGUUUAUUUGGUGACAAUUACUACUGAGAUGGUUUACAUCAAACACAUGGUGACGAAUCUCGGAUUGAACACUUGGGGGUUCGUGUUUUACAACAAUUUGUUGUCUUUGAUGAUGGCACCGAUCUUUUGGAUCGUGACUGGAGAGUAUAUUGAUGUGUUCUCUGCUGUGAGAUCAAAUUCUGGCAAUUGGGUUGAAUCAGGGGCAUUUAUCGCAGUAUCAUUAUCCUGCGUCUUUGGAUUGCUUAUUAGUUUCUUUGGAUUUGCAGCGAGGAAGGCAGUCUCAGCUACGGCAUUUACAGUUACUGGUGUAGUUAAUAAGUUUCUAACAGUAGCGAUCAAUGUCUUGAUUUGGGAUAAGCAUGCUACUCCCUUUGGCUUGCUUUGCUUGAUUUUCACUAUUGUUGGGGGAGUUCUUUAUCAGCAAUCAGUAACUGGAGUUGGUAGCUCUUCAGUACAGUACAGUUCCUCUGCAUCUAAGCAGAUGAAUGGUGAUGAUGAUGAUGAUGGCAAUGAUUCUGGAAACAUGAAUCAAGGAAAAGGUGGAACUGUUAACAGAGGCAUUACUCUCCAUCAGAGCAGCCCUUAAGGAAAACCCGGAAAUCAGAAGCACCUAGUUGCUCUGCCAACACCAUUGUUGCUGCUGUGGCCGGAGAGGAAGAAAAAUAAAGGCUGGAAUUGGACAGGAAUGACAUGCCUAACGAUCCUAAUGGAGGUAAGUAGCCUAGAGCAAGAGAUGUCCCACACCUCAGCCUCCACACCUCAUGAAGAAAUUCUAUUCAAAAGCAUACAGAUGUUUAGUUGCAAGGGAAAUAAAGGGAAGGGCGGUAAACUUAAAUCAAAACUAGAAAGGAACUUCUGCAACCAUUACCUGACAUAAAUUGUGAAAUUAAUUUCAGGUCAUUCAAAAUCUGAUUAUUAUUUAUUUUACUUUGCGUCCAAA